rnacentral:lncRNA from 13 species
AAGAAACAGACAAUCAAUAAAUCAUAAGGAAAAGGAGAUAUGAAAGCUCAGGAAAUAGUUGUAUUUAUUUGACACAUAUUUACCACCUUAUUUUUGUUGGUUUUAAACUACCUCCAUACUACCAUUCGUUUGUAUGGGUUGCCUUUAGAUAAGUCCUGUGACACUUGUGGGGAUCGUAGAACAAAACGGAGAACACAAUCGUGUUUGUGAGUCUCCACUUUCUAUAGGCGUUUUUAGGCCAAACCGUUCGGAUGCUACAGAGGUUUUUGUGAGAAGACAGAUUUUCGGGAUGUCUCGUGGUCUGACAAACAGCACUGUAGCUCUGUCACUUUCCACCGCAGAUGCGGGAAGUGCAACAUAGGCGGAUUGAGAUGCAGCCCAUGCAAAGAAGAACUGAUUAAUCUACCAUAAACUGACAGAUUUCUAUAUAGAUUGGUGCGUCAAUAGACUCUAGGGGGUUUUAAGGAACUCUAGUGUUUACAGCCGACCACGCCACAUUCUCGUGUCCUGUCAGUCUUUUAAGAGCACAGGGGAAGGUCUGCAUACUAGCUUUGAGACAGAUUUGUUUCCAUUUUAGCCAACUCAUGUAAAAGACAAAAGAUAAGGAUAAAACACAAACAGAUCCAUCUACCAGUCAGCUAUGGCAUACAUGCCACAAACAUGGAUGACUCAAAAUGGAGACAUUGUAUAGAAAAUCGAACAUUCCACCGAUACUGAUUCAACUGGGAAAUGGAUAGAUACAGUAUAUUUGAAAUACUGCAGGGAUGAAGCAAGGUUCAACUUCUAAUCUGCUUUUAGCUUUUAUCAGUUCCCAACAGCAGCACCAGCAGCAGCUGUUGACUGUUUGAAUCCAGCAGUUUAUUUUGCUCUCAGACAAACAUGUUGUUCUCUUUAGGAGCUCAGUAUGCCAGUUAUGCGGUUUCUGCAGUAGUGGCCAUGGUGGAUUUUCACUGGUAGUAAAAUCUGUUGUGUUGCCCACGUCAAGGCUUCCCCUCUUUCCUUUUCUUUCUUUCUCUUUGAUCUCUCUCUGCUAGUGGAGGCUGCUGAGGGGAGAACAGCCAACCUCCUGUGCUUUCUGCCCAUUCAAAGGCAGUGUUCUCUAUCUCUAUCAGUCUGUUUCUCUCUGGUCCUCUCUGUCAACCUUUUUCUGUUACCUCUCUACCCCCACCCUCUCUCUUUCCCUUCCCUUCCCCCUCUCUCCCUCUCUAGUCUGUCUAUCCUACCCAGGCCUAUAGCUGGUGACAGCAGAGUUCACAGUUGCAGU